GAUUACACCAGUUUAGGCGCAUGCUCAUCUGUCUAAUGCUACGUGGGAAAUGAAGUUCUUCACUCCAUACAGCUGAUGCACAAUUGAGAGGAUCCUGUCGGGCUGCAUCACCACCUGGCAACGGCAACUGCACUGCCCAUAACCGCAGGGCUCUCCAGAGUAUGGUACGGUCUGCACAACACAUCACCCGGUGCAAACUACCUGUCCUCCAGCACCCUUCAUCACAGCAAGGCCACUGCCAGCAAUACGUUUGCAAACAUUUCUAAACCUGUUUUCGCUUUGAGGUAUUGAGUGAAAAAAACAAUUUUUUAUCAAUUUUAGAAUAAAGCUGUAACGUACCAAUUUUGUGUAUUCAAUUGGUAGUUAGUCUCAUCACUGCAACUCCCGUACGGACUCAGGAGAGGCAAAGGUCGAGAUCCUCCGAAACACAACCCAGCCAAGCCGCACUGCUUCUUGACAGGCAUUGGCCAGCUUAACGUGCACACUUCUGGGCCGCCACAGGAGUCGCUAGUGCACGAUGGGACAAGAACAUCCAUGGGACAAGAACAUCCAUGCCAGCCAAACCCUCCCCUAACCCGGACGACGCUGGGCCAAUUGUGCGCAGCCCCAUGGGUCUCCCGGUUGCGGCUGGCUGCGACAGAGCCUGGACUCGAACCAGGAUCUCUAGUGGCAGCACUGCGUAGCGGUGCCUUAGACCACUGCGCCACUUGGGAGGCCCCACUACCAUCCAGAAGGCGAUGUCAGUACAGUUGCAUCAAAGCUGGGAGCGAGAGACUGAAAAACAGAUUCUAUCUCAAGGCCAUCAGACUGUUAAACAGCCAUCACUAACACAGUGAGGCUGCUGCCUACAUACAGACUUGAAAUCAUUGGCCACUUUAAUAAAUGGAUCACUCGUCACUUUAAUAAUGUUUACAUAUCUUGCAUUACUCAUCUCAUAUGUAUAUACUAUAUUUUAUCAUAAUAAUCUUAUAAUAAUCUUGCCUAUGCCGCUCGGUCAUUGCUUAUCCAUUUAUUUAUAUGUAUAUAUUCUUAUUCCAUUCCUUUACUUAGAUUGUGUGUAUUAGGUAGUUGUUGGAUUUCUUUAUAUUGUUGCACUGUCAGAACUAGAAGCACAAGCAUUUCACUACACUCACAAUAACAUCUGAUAACCAUGUGUAUGUGACCAAUAAAAUGUGAUUUUUGAUUUGAUCAAUGAUCUCUCUGUACUUUGCUCCGUUCAUCUUUCCCUCGAUCCUGACCAGUCUUCCAGU